rnacentral:rRNA from 1 species
GACAGAGGGGGCAAGCGUUGCUCGGAAUUACUGGGCGUAAAGGGCGCGUAGGCGGGAUGGCAAGUCGGUCGUGAAAUCCUUCGGCUCAACCGAAGAAGGGCGAUCGAUACUGCUGUUCUUGAGGAUUGCAGAGGAGACUGGAAUUCCCGGUGUAGCGGUGAAAUGUGUAGAGAUCGGGAGGAACACCGGUGGCGAAGGCGGGUCUCUGGGCAAUUCCUGACGCUGAGGCGCGAAAGCGUGGGGAGCAAACGGG